AUUCAUCGAAUAAAUAAACAGAAUAAAAGAAAAAAUAAAAAAAAGCUUGCAUUCUAAGCUAAUCAAUACAACUUCUUUUUUUUGCCUGCGUGUCCUGAU
rnacentral:ribozyme from 1 species